rnacentral:misc_RNA from 1 species
GAUGAAGAACGCAGCGAAAUGCGAUAAGUAAUGUGAAUUGCAGAAUUCAGUGAAUCAUCGAAUCUUUGAACGCACAUUGCGCCCCUUGGUAUUCCGGGGGGCAUGCCUGUUCGAGCGUCAUUUCAACCCUCAAGCUCUGCUUGGUAUUGGGCACCGUCCUUUGCGGGCGCGCCUCAAAGACCUCGGCGGUGGCGUCUUGCCUCAAGCGUAGUAGAAUACACCUCGCUUCGGAGCGUAAGGCGUCGCCCGCCGGACGAACCUUCUGAACUUUUCUCAAGGUUGACCUCGGAUCAGGUAGGGAUACCCGCUGAACUUAAGCAUAUCAAUAAGCGGGGA